rnacentral:rRNA from 1 species
UACAGAGGUGGCAAGCGUUGUUCGGAAUUACUGGGCGUAAAGGGCGCGUAGGCGGGCUGUCAAGUCUGGGGUGAAAUGCCGCGGCUCAACCGUGGAACUGCCUUAGAUACUGACGGCCUCGAGGAAGGUAGGGGCAUGCGGAACUGUAGGUGGAGCGGUGAAAUGCGUUGAUAUCUACAGGAACUCCGGUGGCGAAAGCGGCGUGCUGGACCUUUUCUGACGCUGAGGCGCGAAAGCUAGGGGAGCAAACGGG